UAGCGUAGGGGGCAAGCGUUGUCCGGAAUUAUUGGGCGUAAAGAGCGUGUAGGCGGUCCGAUAAGUCGGCUGUGAAAGUCCAGGGCUCGAACUCUGGAAUGCCGGCCGAUACUGUCGGACUAGAGUCCGGGAGAGGUGAGUGGAAUUCCCGGUGUAGCGGUGAAAUGCGCAGAUAUCGGGAGGAACACCAAUGGCGAAGGCAGCUCACUGGGACGGCACUGACGCUGAGACGGCGAAAGCGUGGGGAGCAAACAGG
rnacentral:rRNA from 1 species